rnacentral:misc_RNA from 1 species
GUUGUGAAAGACAGUCAGACUUUUGGGCCCGUUGCUUGUUGUACUGCUCUACUCUCUUGUGUCUCUCUAUGGACAGUUCAGAGUUGUUUCUUGGAUCAUCACAAUCUGGGUAUUUGGCUCUAUCAUUAUAUUUCUCCUGGCAAGAGUUCUUGGCGGUGAAGUCAACUAUUCUCAAUGUCUUGGGGUGAUAGGUUACUCUUUAUUACCACUUGUUAUCAUAGCAUCACUGCUGCCAUUCGUGGCAAGUUAUGCCAUCAUUGCCAUGUUGCUUAAGAUUGUGGGCGUGACAUGGGCAUCCUACAGUGCUGGCUCACUUCUCUGUGGUGCUGAACUUCAACACAAGAGGCUGCUACUGUUGUAUCCAGUGCUGCUGCUAUACAUCUACUUUCUGUCUCUCUACACAGGAGUAUAGAACCAAUGAUGCUGUGUUUUGCAGCACCAUGUUGCAACGUGACAGUGAUAGAGAUAAAUCAUUAGCAUGUGAGCUGCUUGCCUUGGAUGAAUCUGUUGCUAGGCAACUGAAUGUUAGAGCCCAGGUGAUGGUGACAAUGACUUUCAUCUGUAAUGGGGAAGUUUAGCUCUCAGAGAGCUGGGAUUGCCCCUGUAUUGGGUCUCUUUAUAGGCAUUGGCCCUAUAUUUGCCAGCUGUUUGCCAUACUGGUUCUUAAACAACGUUUUGACUGCUGGGUUCAUUUUUAGAACACAGUGGAUCCUUUUGGAGAGGAGUACUGUAAGCCCCACAUUUGUAGGUAUAGCAAAACAAGUUAUUGCUAUAUAAAUUUAUAUAGGCUGGUAAGAAUGAAAUUAUUUUUGCAAUCGUACACUGAUGUGUACAGAUAUAAUAAAUUCAGCAACUAACUAAUUCAGUACAACAUGUUAUGACAUAAUCUAAAUAUCUCAUGUUUGUUUUCAUAGUAAUAAGAAAAUUAAUAGUCAUUAUAAUAUACCUUGUAGUUGCCAGUUCUAGGGCAUGGUAACAUUUCAUUGAAAAAGCAAAUUCUGUUUUUAUGCAUUACACCCCUCUUGUGAGCAACAAGUAGCAAACUUAAAUUCAAAUGUUUGCAAUAGUGUAAGUGACUUGGCUAUGUAGUUUUCAGUCAAUUUACACUGAUGGGGGCUGGUGUAUCUACAUUAGCUUGCUGGGGGAAACUUCAUUUAUGGAAUCUGGGAUUUCAAAUGUGUUUAUAAAUCGUGUAAUUUUUGUGAAUAUUAUCUAUGAAUGAAUUAAGGUUAUCAUGGUAAAUAUUCUAGCUAUGAUCAAUCGCAUUCAAAGUAAUGAUUGUCACUUGUUUGCAUCUCUAUGAUAUUUACUGGUCUAUCCAUAACAUUAUGUAUUGUAUAUGUAAAUAAUUAUGUUUAUAGAACAAAGG